UCUAUCGGUAUGUGUAUUACAUGUUGUUUAAUUGAUGUUGCUUGAAUGAUGAUUAAUUGGUGCUUGAUGUUUACUAAGUAAGAAAAAUAUGAUUUUACAUAAACAAUAGGAUGGGCGGCAUCUAGGUUAGCCAGUCAUGCAGAAACAUGGUGUAUAUGCCAGGCUAGUUUCAGACUGGGAUGCGGCUUAGCCUAUCACGGGCUGGAGUAUGACCGUAACUAAUCUAAUAUUGAAAAUUAGAUUAUGACUUUAAUAAUAUGAAUGGGGCAUGGAUGGUGUUUGGACUAUUUGGCCAUGCAAGAAACAUGAUGUGUAUGCUAGACAGUCUUGGGUUGGGGCACAGCAUUGUGUUUGGUCAACCAUGAGCUAGAGUAUGGUUGUGACUAGUCAAUAUUGACAUUAAAUCAAGAUGAUGAAUUAUAUUUAAUUGAAGAACAUCUGGGAUAGCCGGCAUGUAUGAAACAUGGUAUUGUGAUGUCAGCUGCGGGUUGAGAUAUGAUUGCCGGUCAUGGAUAGAAACAUGGUGGCCUACCACGAGCUGGAGCCUGAGCGGGAUCUAGUCCAAUGUCAAAAUAAUAAUGUUGUUUGGAUCAAAACCAUGUUAAUCAUUUAAUGAUAAGUAAAUUCAUUGAAUUAUUGAUUAGGAUUGUUGAUUAUAAUAUGUGACAUGUUUAAUAAAAUUGCACAUGAUGAUAUUAUUCAACUAUCAUAUUGAUGAUGUAUGAAUCUUAUUAUUUUUCUAUCAGUUAUUUAUAUUUGUUAAAAGAUAUUUCAUAUUCAUCCUGGUGGGAGUGUGGAGGAUUCUUAUCGGACUGUUAAACUCACUUUCUUUUUUCUUCAAACUUGCAAGAUGCGUAGGAUUGAUCAGGUUGGGCAUAGAGUUUCGCACAAUGGAGUCCUUAGUUAGUUAGUUAAUUUACUAAUAUUAAGCAAAUAUUUCAAUUUUGUGAGUAUUGUUCAAUAAAGAUGGAUUUAUUGGUUUAAUAAAUAUGAUUGGAACUUUACAAUGCUUUCGGUAUUCUUAUAGAUUUGUUUAUUUUUUAGGUCUUAUAUAUUCUUUAGGACUUGUCCUAAGAAGUGUAUGGCCAUCACAUAUCCGAUCCGAAUAUCAGAUUCGGGACGUGACACCAUCCAUCCUAAUAACGUACACCGUGUGUAUGCACGGCGUGUGCCCGUGCAUGCAUUAUUUGCUAGCCAUCCAUUCUGUAAUAAAUGACCAGUGUGAUGCAUCGUAACCACAAAGGAUCUAUGCUUGUAAUGCAUUAGAGGACUAUGGUGUUUUAGGACUACAACCACUGAUUUAAGAGGCAUUGUGGGGUUAACCGUUAAGUUCACCCUAAAACUAACAAGCUGAUUUCCAUCUUUCCAAAAUCUCUCAAAUUCAACUAAGAUAUACCUAAAUGUUGCCUGAAAAAUAUUUUUCUAGAAAAAUUCAGAUCCUAAUUUGAAGAACGAGAAAAUAUAUGAUCCACUUGAACUAAAUUAGUUGCAUUGGAGGUAUUGAGAUCCAAAAUCCUAUGGCAUCUACAUGGUAACCUAAAAGGGUGUUGGUCUGAAAGAUCAUGAUUCUUUGGUAUUAGCUGUAUGUUUCAACACAUUAGUGCACCAUCAUUAUUUCACAGACAUUAGAUUAGAUUGCUCAUCCACCACUUCUUCGCAAGAUUGGACACAUAAAAAGUGCUGCUAAUAUUUUCAAUAUAUGUAAUGGUCAACAACCACCACGGAAUGCUAGCUACAAAAAGGCCUUUGCUAAUAAGAUAAGAUGUCGGCCACAUAUUUAAUUAUCAUGUAUAGACUUGCUAGUUCUUAAUGCUAUCAAAUCCUUGAGGCAUGUCAAUUAAAUCUUAUUAAACGAGCCAAGAAUAUGACAAUUGUCUCUUAAUGUUGUUGAUGCGAAAACAUUCACAGGCUAAAAGUAUUUUCUACCAAUUUUUUUUUUUUUGAAGCAAAGCUUGAAAGGACGAUUGAUUGAUCACUUCUUUUUUUAAUCAUUAAUUAUCAUGGUCAAGCUAUAUAUGUUCACACAAGUCCAUAACAUAAAAAUGUGAACGUUAACCUCAUCUUUUAAACGAUGUGGCAAAGGACAUAAAAGUGGUGACGCCCAUCUAUUCAUAGUUGUCGGCAGGGAGAAUUUUCCAUUCAUGGUUUUGAUUUUAGCUAUGGUGGUGGGAAGCGUCCACAUGUGAGUUCCAUUGUAGAUCAUGGUCGAAUAAGUACUCUUGGCUGUCGUAGUAUCUUUUAAAAUGUCAAAAAGGCAAUCUCCUCAUGUCUCUUGCUUAUUUGAUGACAUUAAUAUAACAAAAGACUUGUGCAGUCUUCUGAAAGGCCUAACCUUUUAAAUAUUCUGAUCUUGGAAUCGAGGUAUAUGUGGAUAUUCUGACGCUAUUUUAUGUUCCUUAGUCUUGUCAUUUCUGUGGGAAGUAUAACUUAGUGAAGAAAGGCUUGGCUUCGCCUUUAUGACUACUCUUUUCUACAUUCCCAAGCCAAUAAAUGGGGAAAAGAGAUGGCACUUCUGCUUUCCUUCUUGUCUGAUCCUUGAAAGCCCUAAAGGUGACCUAAUCUGAGAGUGACGUGGAGUGAGGUUUGCUCGCCACUUGUCUGUCCCUAGCCAAGGAUUCUCUUGCUAAGGUGCUGGCGAAGUUUUUUGACCAGGGACCUUUUCAUUGACAUCAAAGGCCCCUUGCAGUAUCACAGGUCUCCACGCUAUUCUGAGGUUCCAAAAUCAUCAGUUGGGUGUGCCUGAUCUGUACUUCAUAAAAGAGUAUGACAGGAACCUGCACUGCUUUUAUACAUUUGGAAGCUAUGUGGUCCUGGAAACACUGUUCUCCACUCUGCUUUCCGGAAGACCCAGGAAAUAAAUUUUGAUUCGUCCACCACCGAUUGGAGCUAGCUAGUUACGUGCAUGAUUGGUGCGGUGAUUAUUUUGAAUUUUGGAGUUGGAGACACUUUGGAAUUGAAAAUGGUGGCUAUUUUGUAUAGAGCUGAACUACAGGAAUAUUUUGGAAGCCACUCCUCUCCUCAGCCUUGAUACCCUGCCUUGGUUCCAAAGGCGUAGAUAGUGAGAGAUCUAUAGUGGUGGCAGCAUCAAAGAGUGAUGGGAAGAGGCAGAGAAGGAGGCAGGCAAGGGAAAGCUGGGCAGUCUCCAGAGAAGUAUUGGGUUUUAUCCCUCCUUAAUAAGGAUGAUCCAACUAAUCAGUGUGAAACCCUUGUGAAGAAAUCCGAAGCUCAUCCAGAGAUCAAGGAGUUAUGAGAGUAGCCUGUAGAAGGAUCAACCAAAGAGGCAGAAGGUUCUGCAUCCGAGUCGACUCAGCUCCAUACGAGUUGACUUGGUUUCAGUCCGAGUCGACUCAAUCUCAGAGGAGAAGUUAUACAGAAAGCCAUGUUUCGGAACCCUAUGGACAGCAUGCAGGCGAGUCGACUCAAUUCCAGCAUGAGUCAACUCGAUUCCAGACGAGUCAACUCGAUCUUAGUUCAAGUCGACUCGAUUCUCGUGAUGCGGUUUGGAUCAAUUUUUCAGGGUUUCGAGGCUUAUUUAAAGGUGAAUCACGAGGGUUCUGUAUGGAUGCACUCAGAGUGGCGUGAGGAGCCUUUCUUGAGACCAAAACCUAGAGAUCUAUUUUGUGUGUGAUAGAUCUUUGCUCUCUACUUAUUUUUGAGGGAUUCUACUUGUAACUAUCUUUGUAUUAGAUCUUUUGGAAGUAGUGAUUGAUUUGGCUUAGCUCCGUGAUUUUUUUUUUCGAUA